GACAGUUUUGCGGCAGGUGGGCCCUCGUUGUGCUGCGACGUGGCGCACGCACAAAGACCCGCGCGGUGAGAGGACUGUGACAUGAAGUGACUGGGGAUUUCUCUGCAAAGGACUCGGGCCGGAUUUACUUUAUACGCGCCUCUCUCCUGACAAGAACAACUGACGCUAACGUUAGCUCAGAAAUGGAAGUACGCUAACGUAAACAAACAAUUGGCUUCAAGCACAAUGGAGAAGUUCAACAGGGCCCAUUUAAAGUGAAAAAAAAAAAAAAAACGGUCAGAGGCGAGCACAAUGCAUGCUGCAAACACUAUGAUUGCAAUCAGAACCUUUUGAAACAUUCUUCGGUAACCAGAUUGUUUUCUGAAUGCAGCGGAAAUGUGUGGCACCGGGCGCCGCGCCUUAUGAACACAGCACAUUAUACCACAAAACCUGUAGGGAAACUCACUAAAUAUAGAGUUAAAAAA